rnacentral:lncRNA from 1 species
ACUGCCACAGAUUUCUGGGAAACCUCACAGUUCCAUAAACUAGAACAUCGGUUAUAGCUCUCUGUAAGGAACAAGGUGGUGAGAACACAACGCUUCACAACCCCUCCAAGAAGUGCUCUGUAGAAGUGACAAGUUUUAGGGAAGAAUGGUUGACAAAGCUCUGAAGAUCA